rnacentral:pre_miRNA from 1 species
AUGACGGGUAUUCUUGGGUAUAUAAUACAGAUGGCGUUGUUAUUGCUUGAGAAUACGCGUAGU